UAUCUUCAGGGUCGGGUGUAAGUCCCAACCGGUGGUAACAGCCCACGAGCUUCAUAGCAGAUUCGGUGUAAUUCCGAAGCCGACAGUACAGUCUGGAUGAAAGAAGGUU
rnacentral:ncRNA from 1 species